GCCGGUGAUGACUAUGUAAAUCUUAACAGAAGCACAGAAUCUGUGUAUCUAUGUUGAAACAAAUUAUCAUGAACUAGGACGGUCUGAGGC